AGCAGCCGCGGUAAUUCCAGCUCCAAUAGCGUAUAUUAAAGUUGUUGCAGUUAAAAGCUCGUAGUUGAAUUUCGGGAUCAGUAGGUUGGUCAUGCCUCUGGUAUGUACUGGUCUCACUGGUUCCUCCUUCCUGAUGAACUGUAAUGCCAUUAAUUUGGUGUUGCGGGGAGACUGGACUGUUACUUUGAAAAAUUAGAGUGUUUAAAGCAGGCUAACGCUUGAAUACAUUAGCAUGGAAUAAUGAAAUAGGACGUUCGAUCCUAUUUUGUUGGUUUCUGGGAUUGACGUAAUGAUUAAUAGGGAUAGUUGGGGGCAUUAGUAUUCAAUUGUCAGAGGUGAAAUUCUUGGAUUUAUUGAAGACUAACUACUGCGAAAGCAUUUGCCAAGGAUGUUUUCAUUAAUCAAGAACGAAAGUUAGGGGAUCGAAGACGAUCAGAUACCGUCGUAGUC
rnacentral:rRNA from 1 species